CCUACGGGAGGCAGCAGUGGGGAAUAUUGCACAAUGGGCGCAAGCCUGAUGCAGCCAUGCCGCGUGUGUGAAGAAGGCCUUCGGGUUGUAAAGCACUUUCAGCGGGGAGGAAGGCGGUGAGGUUAAUAACCUCAUCGAUUGACGUUACCCGCAGAAGAAGCACCGGCUAACUCCGUGCCAGCAGCCGCGGUAAUACGGAGGGUGCAAGCGUUAAUCGGAAUUACUGGGCGUAAAGCGCACGCAGGCGGUCUGUCAAGUCGGAUGUGAAAUCCCCGGGCUCAACCUGGGAACUGCAUUCGAAACCGGCAGGCUAGAGUCUUGUAGAGGGGGGUAGAAUUCCAGGUGUAGCGGUGAAAUGCGUAGAGAUCUGGAGGAAUACCGGUGGCGAAGGCGGCCCCCUGGACAAAGACUGACGCUCAGGUGCGAAAGCGUGGGGAGCAAACAGGAUUAGAUACCCCAGGAGUC
rnacentral:rRNA from 1 species